UACAGAGGUCUCGAGCGUUGUUCGGAUUUACUGGGCGUAAAGGGUGCGUAGGCGGUGGCGUAAGUCGGUUGUGAAAUUUCGGGGCUCAACCUCGAAACUGCACCCGAUACUGCGUCGCUUGAGGACUGUAGAGGAGUGUGGAAUUCACGGUGUAGCAGUGAAAUGCGUAGAUAUCGUGAGGAAGACCAGUGGCGAAGGCGACACUCUGGGCAGUUCCUGACGCUGAGGCACGAAGGCCAGGGGAGCAAACGGG
rnacentral:rRNA from 1 species